AGGGAGGCUAUUGCUGCAGCUCCUCCACACAGGUGAGCUGUUGUUAUAUGGACAUCAGCAAAAGUUUUUGCUGAUAGAUUGCAGAAAGGAAAUAUUGAUCGUGGGAGAUUUGAGGGGGAAAGGUGCAGCAACCCAUGAAUUUUAGGAAACUGCUAUUCCCAGGGCUUGGGCCUGGAAUCUUAGGAAAACAAAACGCUUUGCAGUAAAAAUUCUGAAAGACUUUCAUCAGAGAUCUAAAGCACCAAAUCGGCUAAUCAGUCCCGUUAAGGAGGAGUGAGGGGAAAGAGUCCCAUCUUGGAGUCUUUUUAUGAUCAUGCUAGACUGCAGUAGACUGUUGGGAGCCAGCUUGCAUAUAUCUGUAUCUGUCUAUAAUGUUUAUUCCCCACACUUCCUCUGAGGAGAUCCAGUACAAUAUUCAUACAGUUCAUAGGCAGUCUCCCAUCCAGGCACAACAGCUUAGCUUCAGCAGCAGAACUGCCUUGUGUGUCACCAAACUAUACUCUGCUCUUUUCCUCUCAAUGCACCAUAAUCAGGUCCCCAAAUGUCCCAUCCUCACCCAACUAUCUUAGGACAUUAAAAGGUGUUGCCUUUAAUGGAGCAAUGGAAAUGGAGGCGAAUUAUUUCAUCUCACAGGAGGAAAUUAUACAAUUCCAAAAAACAAACAAACGUGAAGUGUGAUUAAAAAAAACCACAUGCAGAAUAUGAAGUGUGCCCUUUAAAUACCAAUUCCUAA